rnacentral:rRNA from 1 species
GAUGAACGCUAGCUACAGGCUUAACACAUGCAAGUCGAGGGGAAACGACAUCGAAAGCUUGCUUUUGAUGGGCGUCGACCGGCGCACGGGUGAGUAACGCGUAUCCAACCUGCCCACCACUUGGGGAUAACCUUGCGAAAGUAAGACUAAUACCCGAUGAUAUCACUAGACGACAUCUGAAAGGGAUUAAAGAUUUAUCGGUGAUGGAUGGGGAUGCGUCUGAUUAGCUUGUUGGCGGGGUAACGGCCCACCAAGGCGACGAUCAGUAGGGGUUCUGAGAGGAAGGUCCCCCACAUUGGAACUGAGACACGGUCCAAACUCCUACGGGAGGCAGCAGUGAGGAAUAUUGGUCAAUGGGCGAGAGCCUGAACCAGCCAAGUAGCGUGCAGGACGACGGCCCUAUGGGUUGUAAACUGCUUUAUAAGGGAAUAAAGUGAGUCUCGUGAGACUUUUUGCAUGUACCUUAUGAAUAAGGACCGGCUAAUUCCGUG